GAACCGUGCGAACGUUGUUCGGAAUCACUGGGCUUAAAGGGCGCGUAGGCGGCCUGCAUAGUCGGGGGUGAAAUCUUUCGGCUUAACCGGAAAAUAGCUUUCGAUACUAGCAGGCUCGAGGGAGGUAGGGGCGGAUGGAACUUCUGGUGGAGCGGUGAAAUGUGUUGAUAUCAGAAGGAACGCCGGUGGCGAAAGCGAUCCGCUGGACCUCUACUGACGCUGAGGCGCGAAAGCCAGGGGAGCAAACGGGAUUAGAUACCCCGGUAGUCCUGGCCCUAAACGAUGGGUACUGAGUAGUGGACUUACAUGGGUUCACUGCUGAAGCAAAAGUGGUAAGUACCCCGCCUGGGGAGUAUGGUCGCAAGGCUGAA
rnacentral:rRNA from 1 species